GAUGAACGCUAGCGGCAGGCUUAAUACAUGCAAGUCGAGGGGCAGCAGGGGUAGCAAUACCCGCUGGCGACCGGCAAACGGGUGUGGAACACGUACAGAACCUUCCUUAGAGUGGGGGAUAGCCCGGAGAAAUCCGGAUUAAUACCCCAUAGUAUUGUUGGUUGGCAUCAAUUGGCAAUUAAAGAUUUAUUGCUCUAAGAUGGCUGUGCGGCUGAUUAGGUAGUUGGUUGGGGAACGGCCCACCAAGCCAGCGAUCAGUAACUGGUGUGAGAGCACGACCAGUCACACGGGCACUGAGACACGGGCCCGACUCCUACGGGAGGCAGCAGUAAGGAAUAUUGGUCAAUGGAGGCAACUCUGAACCAGCCAUGCCGCGUGAAGGAUGAAGGUCCUCUGGAUUUGUAAACUUUCUUUUAUGUGGGAAGAAAUGCCUGUCUUUUUAGUCGGGUUUGACGGUACAUAGGAAUAAGCACCGGCUAACUCCGUGCCAGCAGCCGC
rnacentral:rRNA from 1 species